ACGGAAGGCAGCAGUGGGGAAUAUUGGGCAAUGGGCGCAAGCCUGACCCAGCGACGCCGCGUGAGUGAAGAAGUAUUUCGGUAUGUAAAGCUCUAUCAGCAGGGAAGAUAAUGACGGUACCUGACUAAGAAGCCCCGGCUAACUACGUGCCAGCAGCCGCGGUAAUACGUAGGGGGCAAGCGUUAUCCGGAUUUACUGGGUGUAAAGGGAGCGUAGGCGGCGCAGCAAGUCAGAUGUGAAACCCCGGGGCUUAACCUCGGGACUGCAUUUGAAACUGCAGUGCUAGAGUGCGGGAGAGGUAAGCGGAAUUCCUAGUGUAGCGGUGAAAUGCGUAGAUAUUAGGAAGAACACCAGUGGCGAAGGCGGCUUACUGGACGGUAACUGACGCUGAGGCUCGAAAGCGUGGGGAGCAAACAGGAUUAGAUACCCUGGUA
rnacentral:rRNA from 1 species